UACCGAGGUUUUAUCAUGGUUAAGCAUUAGAACAACUACUGCAUAAUAGUCCCUGACUAAGCUGAACAAAAUGUGACAGGGUCACAACUACAAAAGUAGUAGCGCAAUCAGAAAACACCUAUAACAACUAAGACCAAAAGAGAGACUGUGUCCGAUGCACCCCAUGUUUGACUAGAACCAUCCAUAUGGAAUUUCAUGAUUAAUGCUAAUCUUCCCUGCUUCCUUUCACUUAUUCCAUCCCGUUGAGAUAUCCAGUCCU
rnacentral:lncRNA from 1 species